AUUAACAACAAUCUGUUAAUAGUAGAUGAUUUCUUUUCUUUUUUAAUUUUUAUUUUUUAUUUAAAUUAGAAACAAGCUUCUUUUACAUGUCAAUCUCAGUUCCCUCUCCCUCCCCUACUUCCCCCCCACUGACCCCCCUAUCGCAACCCCUUUCUGCUCCCCAGGGAAGUUGAGGCCUUCCUUUGCGGAUAUUCAAAGUCUGUUAUAUCAUUUGGAGCAGGGCCUAGACCCUACCCAGUGUGUCUAGGCUGCAAGAGUAUCCUCCUAUGAGGAGAGGGCUCCCAAAGUUCAUUUGUGUACUAGGGGUAAAUACUGACCCACUACCAGUGGCCCCAUAGAUUUUCCAGACCUCCAAACUGACCUCCUCCUUCAGGGGGUCUGAAACAGUCCUAUGCUGGUUUCCCAGCUAUCAGUCUGGGGUUCAUGAGCAACCCCUUGUUCAGGCCAGCUGUUUCUUUGGGUUUCUCCAGCCUGAUCUUGACCCCUUUGCUAAUCACUCCUUCCUCUCUGCAACUGGAUUCCAGAGUUCAGCUCAGUGUUUAGCUGUGAGUGCCUGUGUCUGCUUCUGCUUCCAUCAGCUACUGGAUGAAGGCUCUAAGAUGGCGUAUAAGCAAACAUAUAGAGGAGAUCAUGGAUGUACUACCAUUCAAAGUAGCUUCAAAGACAAUAAAAUAUCUGGAAAUAAAGCUAAGCAAGGAAGGAAGACCUCUACCAUGGAAACUAAAACUCUGAAUAGAUAAAGUCACUAAAAAAUUCAAAGACAUCCCAUGUUCAUGAAUUGGUAGAACCGCAUUGUGAAAAAUGACCACUCUGUCAAAAGCUACUUACAGAUUCAUUCUAUCCCGUUCAAAAGUCCCACCUCUUUCUUCAUAGAAAUAGAAAAAAAAACCUUGUUCUAAAAGUUAUGUGGAACCAUAAAAGAUUCUGG
rnacentral:lncRNA from 1 species